AUGAUUGAUCGAUUUAUUGCCAACUUUGAUGUUUAUGUUUAAUUUAUCAUUUUGAGUCAUUUUUAAGAAGAAAAAAGUCCAGAUUCUCUGAUUACAGAUCCUCAAAUGUGAAUAUUAUUGGGAAGGUGUGCAAUGAUGCAAAAUAAAAAUAAUCUUUAAUUCCCCUCAGAAUAGUGGCAAACUAAUAGUGGCAGUAGCCUCCAGGUCUCCUCAAGUUUAAAUUAACUGCUUUAGCUCUCUUACUUAUUCCCAUGUUUUUAACUGUUUUCCCUAGGCUUGAAAAAUGAAGAAAAGGACCACCGAGAUUACAUACCCUCGCUUUUCCCUGCCAGAAAGACGCAGUCUGCAGCCGCAAAACUGCAAAGGCUGGAGCGCAGGACACCACCAGACGCCCCAGUACUAGCAACCACAGCACCAGAGGCUCCAUGCCUUCCUCAGAGUGUGGAGAAUGAGGUUUUCAAUUUAAGGAGAGAGAGGGAUGAGGCCAGGAAGGAGUGAGAUGAAGCUGUGCAACAACUGUGAGAGAAAAUUACAUCAAAUGCAAGCUGAUGACUGGGCUGACGUGGACACUGUUUUACACCUUGCACCAGUAUCUGGUGCAGUUUGUAAAGCCACAAGAGACAUCCAAACAUUCGACACAAGAUGAGCUCUUCAUAACACUGGUGAAACUGCGGUAGAACCCUUCAACGGACUUUAUAUGUGGAAUACUUGACUUGGCACACAACACUUUUCUUGAUGUGUUCUCCAGGUGGCUCGAUCUGCUGUAUGCAAAAAUUUCAUUUUUGAUUGCUUGGCCUGACAGAGAAUGCAUCAGGAACACAGUACCAGCUGAAGUUCUUUUGCAAUACCCCAGAUUGACGUCUAUCAUUGACUGCUUUGAGAUCAGAAUCCAACAUUCAAAGAAGCUGAAAACUAGAGCAAUGACCUACUCUAAGUACAAAAACUGGACCACAGUCAAGUACUUCAUUGCAUGUCAUCCAUCUGGUGCCAUCACAUAUGUCUCCAAAGGCUGGGGUGGGAGAGCAUCAGAUGUUCACAUUAUGAGGAACUCUGAUUUCCUGCCUCAGAGAUACCUACACGCUGGAGAUCAGAUACUUGCUGACCGAGGCGUCACCUUGAGAGAGGACUUUGCUGUUCUGGGUGUACAACUGAUUACGCCAUCAUUCACGCGGGGAAGAAAACAGCUGUCAGCAGAGGAUGUGGCAAAUUCUCGUGUGACCUCAAACAUUAGAAUUCACAUAGAUAAAUAUUGUGUCAGCAGUCAGCUCUUCAGUAUAUGAAUGUGUGAGUAAUCAGAUAUAUCAGUUGUAAUAGUUUUAUUUUAUGACUGUUCCACCUGUUGAUUGUUUUUCCAGAGGUAUUUCAUUUCUUUUCUUUUUUCAAGUACUUGCAAAACCAUACUUUUGUUAACCCUGUUAUGUCAACCCUGUUACGCUAGAAUGGUAACAGGGUUGACGAAAAAUGUUCUUGGCAGCCAUUACUAGCCAUGUGGUGAAGGUCAUGAGACCACAUGGUGUGCAUUCAUUAGAGGCUUAUAUCAUGUUAUUUAUGUACAUUAAAAAUUUCUAACAAAUAUCUUUUUAACGUGUCCUUUUGUGAAAACAGGGCUGACACAAUAAGCUCGUCCCCUUCUGUCAAACAUUAUAUAACUAUAAGAAAAAUCAUGAAAAGAAGAGGACACUUACUUGUCUUUUCACCAGCAUGUUCACAAAAGGAAGCUGAUUUCACUCCCAGGAAAUGAUGCAACUUUCGGAGCAGGCCAAACAUGUUCAAUGGAUCAAAUUCAUUGUGACUGUCCUUUUAAUAUCCUUCAUGUUUUGAAAAAUGCUAAAACCUCUCAAUAAAUGUCUCCAAAAUA